GCAGAAAGGAAAAAGAAUUCCCACCUAUUGAGUGCCAUUAGCUGCACUGUGUCUAGCAUAGUGAAAUACGUGUUUCUCUCAGUUAACUUUCAUAACUCUUUCCAGUAAAUAUUGUCUCCAUUUUAUAGUUGGGGAAACUGAGACUCAGAGCAGUUUAAUAAUUUGUGCAGUCACACAGCUGUUAAGUGGUAAAGCUGGAAUUCGAACUAGAUUUGUCAGACACUAAAACCCAUGUACUUUUCACAGUGUCACUUGGCCUCCCAAAUUUCCUGUGGCACUUAGCUCAUCUAUAUGAAAAUUGAUACACCACCAGACAACAGAUUCCUUCAGGGGCUUUAAGAUUGACAUUCUUAGACUCUUUAUACUUGGCACACUACUGCUAGGCACACUAAAUGUUUUUCUCAGAAAGAGACCAUGGAUAAUCCUACCAUUUUAUUUGUUGGGGGAAGUGGUAAUUAGAUUUAUUUCUUUAUUUUUAGAGGAGGUACUGGAGAUUGAACCCAGGACCUUCUGCAUGCUGAGCAUGCGCUCUACCACUUGAGCUAUCCCCUCCCCUCCUGCCAUUUUAUUUAUCUAGGAAGGUUGUGGACCUGAGGCCGGCCUGUGGGGAUUUACUGAUCAGAUCUGCGAUCUAGUCAAGUCCUCUUUUUCCAUCAAUGACACUCAGAUAAACCUGCAUCCAGGGUUUAUCCUGCAUAUCCAAGGGCAAUGAAGACAGCCCUGAAAUACUUUUCCAGAGAACUUUGUCAAGUUUUACCCCCCACUCCUAACCAACCAGUCACUAUUACCAGCAAGACUACAGACCAGGCUCGCUACAGAUGCCUUCUCACCAGGUUUUUUUUUUUUAGGGGAACAGUAAUUGCUACCUGGAAGUGGGAUUCAGCUGUAACAAAAUCCUAAACCCUAAAAUGCAGAAGUAACUUUGGAACUGGACAGUGGAUUUGGGGGAGAGUGUUAGUGAAAGCCUAAACUUGAAGAAACCGUUAAUAGAAACAUCGUGAUCUUUGAUAUGGCUGCAGGUAAGGGCUUGCAAAAAAAUAAGGUAAUGUUAUUGGAAAUUGGAGGAAAGGGGACUCUUGUUAUAUAAUGGCAGAAAGUUCAGUAACACUGUUGCCUGCAGUAAUUGAAAAGCAGAAACUAUGUCUAAUGAACUGGGUAAUCUAGCUAGGGAGAUUUCCAAGCAACGGUUACUUCUUGUUGCUUAUAGUAAAAUGUAAGAGGAGAGAGGCAAACUGGGGGAAGAACUGUUAAACAAACGAAGACAUAAUUUGCUGGUUUUGAAGAUUCUCAGACUCUCUAAAUGGCAAACAAUGCUAAAAUUAAGAUGUAGCUUCUGAGCUACAAAUCCAUGGCACUGCUAGUAAAACAUGGUCCUAAGAUGAAGCCAAGGGUAUGACUAUAAAAUCUUUUGUUAAAAUCUUAGAAAGAUUUAAGGUUGUGCAUCAGAAUACUAUUAAGUCAGACAAAAGGCCCUCGAAGGAUAUUAAAGGUAUGUUUCACAUACUCUCUCAAUAAAAUGAUAAAGCACCUAGGAAGCUUAAGGACACUGUCCCUCAGUCAUCUCAUCAGAAGUCUAAAGUAGCAAAUAGCUUAUCUGAAAGAUAUUUGAAGGUGUGGCUUUCAUCUAAUGGAGUGGACCCCAAUAAUAUUUACAGAUGACUCAUAACAUUUUUUAAGUAUGUAUGCAGAAACAUUGCCACCUUGAACCAAAAGGGAUAGAGAGAGUGCAAAAUGAAAAGAGGCCUUGGGACCCUCAAAGUUCCACAGACAAGAAGUAGGCUGAGAGAACUUCUCAGCUGUAAACAUGGGCUAUCUUUCAUUAAAAAAAAGGAGGAAGAUUUAGAGGU
ensembl:lncRNA